rnacentral:rRNA from 1 species
GAUUAACGCUAGCGGCAGGCCUAAUACAUGCAAGUCGAGGGGCAGCAGGGUGUAGCAAUACAUCGCUGGCGACCGGCGCACGGGUGCGUAACACGUAUGCAACCUACCUUUAACUGGGGAAUAGCCCUCCGAAAGGAGGAUUAACACCGCAUAACAUCACGAGACGGCAUCGCCUUGUGAUCAAACCUCCGGGGGUUAAAGAUGGGCAUGCGUCCGAUUAGCUAGUUGGCGGGGUAACGGCCCACCAAGGCGACGAUCGGUAGGGGGUCUGAGAGGAUGAUCCCCCACACUGGUACUGAGACACGGACCAGACUCCUACGGGAGGCAGCAGUAAGGAAUAUUGGACAAUGGAGGCAACUCUGAUCCAGCCAUGCCGCGUGAAGGAUUAAGGCCCUAUGGGUUGUAAACUUCUUUUAGACGGGACAAAACCCCUUUACGUGUAAAGGGUUGAUGGUACUGUCAGAAUAAGCAUCGGCUAACUUCGUGCCAGCAGCCGCGGUAAUUCUCGCGUG